CAGUCGCCGCGGUAAUACGUAGGUGGCAAGCGUUAUCCGGAAUUAUUGGUCGUAAAGCGCGCGCAGGUGGUUUAAUAAGUCUGAUGUGAAAGCCCACGGCUCAACCGUGGAGGGUCAUUGGAAACUGUUAAACUUGAGUGCAGGAGAGAAAAGUGGAAUUCCUAGUGUAGCGGUGAAAUGCGUAGAGAUUAGGAGGAACACCAGUGGCGAAGGCGGCUUUUUGGCCUGUAACUGACACUGAGGCGCGAAAGCGUGGGGAGCAAACAGGAUUAGAUACCCCCGUAGUCCCUGUCUCUUAUAC
rnacentral:rRNA from 1 species